CAUGUCUUUAUCCUGUUUUCCUUCUCUUACUCCAACUGGUCGCAGCAGAUGGCCCCACCCCCCCUGAGUUUUUCCUUCCCACUGUCGCCAAAGUGAAGCACCUUGAGGCGACUGUUGUUGUGACUUGGCGCUAUAUUAGUAAUUUUCUGGUUUACAAACUAAAUCAACUAAUCAAAAAACAUCAGACAAAAGGACAGAGAGUGAAAGAGAGGCUGUCUUUGGAAGCUUCACAUUUUCUAGGCACAGUCAUGACCUACUACCCAAAGGACACUUUUGCAGAUGGAUCUGUCACAGUGACCAUUCGGUAUAAACUGAACUUCCACACAGCUUUCUGCAAAAAUGAUGACACAUGGAGUUGCCUCAGUGGUGACUUGGGACUGAAACCCACACACUAUAUGUGGUAAAACAAGAAAGCAGUGGAGACUGGUGUCAGAGAGAGGGAAUCAUGACUCGACAGGUUCCCAGCAACGCUCCGUUUGAACUUCGGUUGGAGGGUAGUGCAUGGAUAUCUAACGUCAAAAAUGGCAUUUCAUCAUGGAGAGCUGUGACUCGAAUGGAACUGAGGAACCGCUCUGACACCAGCAAAGCCAACACAUCACCUCAGACCACCAUCCUACCAGCUGUGAGAGUUCCUUCAAACUGUCAGAGAAAUUUCAGCCUGUUGAUGUUUGACCCUGAUGGAGACAAAGUUAAAUGCAGAUAUGGAAACUCCUCACUCUCAGAGUGUAACCCCUGCACUCCCCCGUCUGUCCUCAGCCUCUCAUCGUCCUCUUGUACUCUGUCAUUCAGCCCCACCAGCAGCAGUAAUGAAGGUUCGUAUGUAGUACAGCUGGUGAUGGAGGACUUCCCCAGACAGACCAUCACUCUGACUCAAACCAACGGGACACAAACAACAAUAACUACCAACGAUGCCAUCAGCAAAAUACCGAUUCAGUUUGCUUUGAAAGUUGAUCCUGCAGUGCCAUCCUGCACAGAAGGACUCUUUCUGCCCAAGUUUCUUCCUCCAACACCAGCCAACAGAGCUCAGCUCUACAACAAUGUCAGUCAGACUCUGGAAAUUAACAUCACUGCAGAGACACUUUACUCCACGGUCUCUGAGCUGUUCUACAGCGGGCCGUACACGUUAAUCAGCAGUACAUCAGGACCAGGACAGUUCACCCUGAGAUGGACACCAUCUGAAAGCGAAGACGGACAAAGCCUCCCCAUCUGUUUUGCCAGGCAGUUUCUGGGUCAGUCUCAUGUUUCAUAUAAAUGACUCUGUAGAAAUCUAUAUGGGAAAACAGCUGAAAUUCAGUGAAUACAUUUUUUUAAAGAUACAAUUUUUAUGUUAUCUAACGUGUUUCCUGUUGUGAGGAUUGUUCAGUCAUUAAAAGGUAGUUAGCUGUCUUUUCAGUCAAUAAAUAUUUUUUAUCUUUUGAGAUUACAAUUGUAGUCAGAAGGUAAAAUGAAAACCAGGAA
ensembl:lncRNA